GUGGGUUGGUCCCUGUGUUCUGGGCUGGUCCCUGUGUUGUGGGUUGGUCCCUGUGUUGUGGGUUGGUCCCUGUGUUGUGGGUUGGUCCCUGUGUUCUGGACCUGGUACCCUGUGUUGUGGGUUGGUCCCUGUGUUGUGGGUUGGUCCCUGUGUUGUGGGUUGGUCCCUGUGUUGUGGGUUGGUCCCUGUGUUGUGGGUUGGUCCCUGUGUUGUGGGUUGGUACCCUGUGUUGUGGGUUGGUCCCUGUGUUGUGGGUUGGUCCCUGUGUUCUGGACCUGGUACCCUGUGUUGUGGGUUGGUCCCUGUGUUGUGGGUUGGUCCCUGUGUUGUGGGUUGGUCCCUGUGUUCUGGACCUGGUACCCUGUGUUGUGGGUUGGUCCCUGUGUUGUGGGUUGGUCCCUGUGUUGUGGGUUGGUCCCUGUGUUGUGGGUUGGUCCCCCUGUGUUGUGGGUUGGUCCCUGUGUUGUGGGUUGGUCCUUGUGUUGUGGGUUGGUCCUGUGUUGUGGGUUGGUCCCUGUGUUGUGGGUUGGUACCCUGUGUUGUGGGUUGGUACCUGUGUUGUGGGUUGGUCCCUGUGUUGUGGGCAUUGCUUUUUGUGCCAUAUUAAAGUGCACCUCUUCCUGUGGAACUCUCUGCUCUCAGCGCCUGAUUCUUCCUCACACACCUAGUCCCUCGUGACAGGCUCUCCAACACUGUUCCUGGAGAGAAACCCUCCUGUAGGUUUUAACUCCAACCCUGUUCCUGGAGAGACACCCUCCUGUAGGUUUUAACUCCAACCCUGUUCCUGGAGAGAAACCCUCCUGUAGUUUUCAACUCCAACCCUGUUCCUGGAGUCACCCUACUGUAGGUUUGAACUCCCACCCUGUUCCUGGAGAGCUACCCUCCUGUAGGUUUGAACUCCAACCCUGUUCCUGGAGAGAGACCCUCCUGUAGGUUUGAACUCCAACCCUGUUCCUGGAGAGAGACCCUCCUGUAGGUUUUAACUCUAACCCUGUUCCUGGAGGGUAACCCUCCUGUAGGUUUUCGCUCCAACCGUAAUCUAGCCACCUGAUUGUAAUAACUAGCUGGUUAAAAAGUUGAAUCAGGUUAGUUACAACUGCGGUUGGAGUUAAAAACCUACAGUUCUCCAGGAUCUUUGUUGGAGAGCCCUGGUACGGUAAUGGAGAGGUCUGAUUAUGAAACAAAUAUGAAACAAUCUUUCCAUCUGAAUGUGAGUCCAUGG
ensembl:lncRNA